rnacentral:rRNA from 1 species
AGAUUGAACGCUGGCGGCAUGCCUAACACAUGCAAGUCGAACGGGAGUAGCAAUACUCUAGUGGCGGACGGGCGAGGAAUACGUAGGAAUUUGCCCUUAAGUGGGGGAUAACCCGGGGAAACCCGGAUUAAUACCGCAUGACCUCGAAAGAGCAAAGUGGGGGAUCGCAAGACCUCACGCUUUUGGAGAAGCCUACGCCGGAUUAGCUAGUUGGUGAGGUAAUGGCUCACCAAGGCGACGAUCCGUAACUGGUCUGAGAGGAUGAUCAGUCACACCGGAACUGAGACACGGUCCGGACUCCUACGGGAGCAGCAGUGGGGAAUACUGGACAAGUGGGCGCAAGCCGUGACUCCAGCAAUCGCGCGUGUGUGAAGAAGGUCCUUCGGUAGUAAGCUA